rnacentral:ncRNA from 2 species
UACGGAGGGGGCUAGCGUUGCUCGGAAUUACUGGGCGUAAAGGGCGCGUAGGCGGGUAAUCAAGUCAGGCGUGAAAGGCCCGGGCUCAACCUGGGAACUGCGUUUGAAACUGGUUACCUUGAGUGUCAGAGAGGGUGGUGGAAUUCCCAGUGUAGAGGUGAAAUUCGUAGAUAUUGGGAAGAACACCAGUGGCGAAGGCGGCCACCUGGCUGACUACUGACGCUGAGGCGCGAAAGCGUGGGGAGCAAACAGG